UUCCUGUAUACGAAGCGACAGCUGUACCUGUAAACAUACAAUACUACAAACAGUAGUAUAGAGCUGCUCGAGUAAACAAAAGCUAAACAAACUAAGCUUCACAUACAUAGUUCAAAAAUCAAAACACAGAGUUACUCGCACUGGCGAGUUAAGUACUAUGUACAUAAGCUCGAAAUAAAACAACUACCUGCAGUAGGGUGCCUCUAGCUCUGCUCGGCGGGUAGGGCUCUAACUCGCGACGCCCUUGCCUCGAUCCUGAUCCGCGGAAGGCGCAGCAGCCGAAACCUGUGGCUCUGCAAAACAGGGGUAACAAUUGGGCGUGAGAACUACUGUAAAAACAAGUAGUCCUCAGUGGGUACCGCCCAAAACAACAUUGGUCCACCCACUAAGUCUACAGAAUGGAGCAAGAAUAGUCGGAAAAGCAGGAAGUAAACUCUACCGCUAUCAAUCACUACACUAUCAUGCUCUACACUAACCAACUGUAGGAAAUGUCAAAUCUGACCCAAUCCAAUCGGGACUGUAAAUACACCCGUCCCUGCCCAGUUGCGACUAUCCAGCUACCUCCACACUAACUGGUCCGUGGAGAGCAAGUCCAACCGGCAUGAGCGACACCAACGCGAAAGCACAAAGCCCGUCUCCGGAGUGGCACUCGUGGGCGCUACCCAACCGAGUAUGCAGCGUAUCUCUGUCGAGCUCAAUCAGGCUCUGUCAAGCCAAAGUCCAAGUAACCGACUCUAACUGGUCUAACAACAAACAAGUAACGUACCCUCGGCACAAUCUGACGCCAAAGCGGCGAACCGGGCCCACCACCGUCAACCCCAACGGCGCCCAAAAGUCCGAAACAGCCCAAACGGCCCUGUAAAAAUCCACUCGGCGAAUCAGCACGAGCGUAAAUAUAUUCUAAACUACCUGGAGUACUCAUCUCGAGGAUACUGCGACAGUAUAAUUUUAUAACGGCUCCUAGAGCUAAAUCAGGCAGUUUAAAUAAGUGAUAGGUCCAAAUCGCAGGUUUUCUCCUAAUUCAAAUUUCAAGUCCAACAUAUAUAAACUACUCAAUUUAUUAUCACAUACUCCAAAUUCAGAUAUACAAUCAAUCAUAUAAUCCAUGAAUUCGAGUUAGAAUAGAUUAUCCAAAUCGAAAUCUAUACAUGUCGACGAUUAUGAACUUAGGAGUAAAACCGAUGUAAACCCACCUCAAAGCUAAUCCCUGG
rnacentral:lncRNA from 1 species